CGCAUGGGCGCAGCUACACAUGCAGUCGAACGGUAGCACAGAGGAGCUUGCUCCUCGGGUGACGAGUGGCGGACGGGUGAGUAAUGUCUGGGAAACUGCCCGAUGGAGGGGGAUAACUACUGGAAACGGUAGCUAAUACCGCAUAACGUCGCAAGACCAAAGUGGGGGACCUUCGGGCCUCACACCAUCGGAUGUGCCCAGAUGGGAUUAGCUAGUAGGUGGGGUAACGGCUCACCUAGGCGACGAUCCCUAGCUGGUCUGAGAGGAUGACCAGCCACACUGGAACUGAGACACGGUCCAGACUCCUACGGGAGGCAGCAGUGGGGAAUAUUGCACAAUGGGCGCAAGCCUGAUGCAGCCAUGCCGCGUGUAUGAAGAAGGCCUUCGGGUUGUAAAGUACUUUCAGCGGGGAGGAAGGCGACGUGGUUAAUAACCGCGUCGAUUGACGUUACCCGCAGAAGAAGCACCGGCUAACUCCGUGCCAGCAGCCC
rnacentral:rRNA from 1 species